ACAUAAUGGUCAAAGCUUACAUAACAGUUUACGUAAACCACAAGCUUACAUAAUGGUCAACCGCUUACAUAAGUGCUCACUUACAUAAGCGUUCACUACAUAGCAUUCACCACCUCAACCCAUUUUGGUGUAUUCUGAUGUUGGGGUUCUCAAACUCCGGAUCAGGGCCUGAACCGCAGAAAUCAGCGCUUUCCCCGCCUGGGAUUUGCAUGUUUGCCCUGUAAUCUAAAGUUCCCCUUCCAGCGAAACAUUCUUCCCGCCCAGAAUGCCCAGCAAGGCAAUUCGCGGAUACUUGUCCCAUCUCACGGUCUGAAAAAUCGUAAGUCGAAAUCGCACAUUUGUUAGGGACGUCUCGCGCACACCAGACUCCUAACAAACAGUCGACCAAUUCACUCCGCUAGUCCACCCAACGCAUAUCCACCUAGUCUAGUUUUGCACCCGACGAAAAGGACCCGGAAGGAUAUACAUGAAAGAAGAGUGAAAACUCUGAGAACGCAGGGCAUGGGAACACUGGCAAAGGGUCGGGAGACACGAGCCAGCCUAACAUGCCCACAAGGGAAAAGUGGAUUACUACGUAGAUAAAUAAUCGUAGGGCCUUAAGCCUACUAACUCUAAAAGAGCCGGGGGAACAAACACUUUAUCUAGCUUCAAAACCUAGUU
rnacentral:misc_RNA from 1 species